UCAAGGACGGAGUCCUUCAGUGUUAUUAUCAUUAAGCCAUUUUAUGAGGUUUGCUUUUCGUUUCUGGCUACCCCAGAAAACAAAGAUGCUGGAAGGAAGAUACUGUUCGGCAGGGACAGUUAGGGGACACACUGUUUCCCUCACGGGUGUGUGAGUUGGUGGGAUGCCCUGGGAAUAGCGAAAAGACCCCGAGGAAAAGACGGGCGCUAUCGGAACCGUGCCUGCCGUCGGGCGAUGCUGCAGAACAGGUACAUCUUGGGCACAAGUGGGGUCUGGAACUGAAGAAACCAGCCCGGCUCCACCACCUGGCUGCCCGGGAUCCGAGCUGCACGGACGCCCGUGGGUGACGCCAACGGGAAGAAGGCGAACCGGAGCGGGAGGGCUUCUCCGCCGGGCAGGGACAGCCUGGCAUCGCCCGGCACCGGCUGUACCAGCACCCGCCGGUGGGAGGGCCGCCCGCUCUGCCCCGGCGCUCACCUGUAGGCGCUGAGGAGCGCCUUGUUGACCAGCACGUUCAAGUGAGAGGGAAGGAGGCUUCCUUUCUCAUCUGAAUUUCCUGACUUCCAACAAGAGGAAGAAGUUAAAGCAAGCAGGUCAGUAAAUACACAUUAUUAAUAUCCCCUUAAGCAGUAGCUUAACAACAACAACAACCAACAACAAAACCACACACAAAAAGUUCAAUCUGAAAACAAAGUUUUGUUAGCAUAUUAGGAAUCUCUGGCUGCCUUCAAAGCAAAAUACGGUAAAAGAUCUCCACGAGACAAUGCUACUGAAAGUAUACAACAUUCACAAAGUGACAAGAUACCCUGUUAAACAUUUUAUAUCAGCAUCUGAGUACUAGGCAGCAUUCUGCAACUUAAUUUAUUUGGGAAAUACAUGAAAUCACACUGUUAACACACUUGUAACUACCUUUGGAAACCUAUUUUCUAAUUGUAUAGUGAAUACUUUUCUGCAGUGUUUACUUUAUAGCUGUGCUAUGGUUAGUGAACAAAAAAUUGACAUGUUAUGCUGGAGUAAAGCGGUAAGGUGGCUUUAUGCACAGUAAGUAUGAAGGCUUCUAUUUGCUAAUCAUUAUAAAAGCAGUACUUUAAAAUGUAGUGUUUGCUAAUAGAAGACCUAGAAUAGUUUACUACAAAUUCAUACCACCCUGUAAAUAACCCCUUUAUUAACAAAAUCAAGUGCCAAAUCACUACAGGGCCCAAAAACACCUGAAAAAAUAUUACCAAUUGUUUACUUUUUUCUAGACUUUGCAAGACUAAUCAUUUUCAGAUAAAAAAAUGUGCAAAACUUCCCAACUACACAUGUUAGGAAUGACAAGUGCUACGAAGAGAUUCUGAUGAAAUCAAAUCAAAAAAAUAUGAAGCAACGAAGUCAAGCCUCAUACCUUGGGCAGUCACAGUGAAGAUAUUCCCUGCAUGAAGCAUUUUCUUUCCCUGUGCAAGUUGAGAUGACUAACCUUUGCCCUUCGCCUUGGAGAUGCUAGGACAAUCAUCAAGACAGAUUUCUCCUUGCAAACUGCAACCAGAAGAACAAAGGUAGCAGGUAUCUCUUUCCUCAAUUGGCUCUGACUGCACGAACUACACAAAGGCUUGCCAUGCCCCCACCCUCAGGAAGGCAACAAAAUGAGGGUGAGUCUGGCUCACGAAUUCAGAGGAAUGACAGGGUAAGCUCUACUCAGUUAAGUGGUUCUUACAAGUUCAACACAUUGUAGGACCAAGUGAAAUAACAUCUUUUGACAAAAAACAUGAGGAAUGCUGUUAUUUAAUAUCAUUAUCUAGAUUAGUCAUAGUAACUUGAGUCAGAAGGAGAUGGUGAGAGCCAAAGCUUUCAUGGGAUUUUGGUUGUUUGGGAGGAGUGCUGGUGGUUGUGUCUGUAUUGUGAGCUACAUUUGUUCAUAUUUAUGGCAAACAUAGAGUUCUGUUGAAGAAAUAAAAUGUAUGUGCUUGGUUUAAAAAAAAACCCCAAACGGCAUCUUCAGUUCAAGCUCAGCUGAGUAUUGAGUAAGUUCAUCAUACAUUUUAACUUAACUGCAAAUUACCUUCUAAACACAGUUCAGUAAAUUAGCAUGAUCUCCUCCACCCUAGAAAAUGAAUUUUAGGUGGUGGGAAAAAACAGCUGGGUGGUGAUUUUAAGCAUGUGAGCUCUUCUCUCAAUAUUUAAGCACAGUUCCUAGGAUGUUACAAUCGUGAAGUUGACAGCUACUUUUUAGGUUACUGUAACCUCUUACUGCAAAACUUCAAUUGUGAUGUGAAAAAUACAUCAGCAAGGAGGAAACCAAUCACAAAGAAGAGGCAAUCAGGAUACAAAGUGCUACCACGCUCAAGUACAGAGCACCAAACCCAAGACUAACUCUCUCUCUUACAAAGUGAGUCUGUGACAUCGACAGAUAACAUGUUUAUACUAUUUGCCUAUACUAUUACAGCGCAAAUUGCUGCUACACUUCCCCACCACAACCAUGGUUACAGAGACUUUGAUAAACAAGCACUGGGAGCAAAGUAUGAUUAACUUAGCAGUUACAACAAAAUCAUAACAGUUCAAGUUCUCUGGGGUUUCUUUGUUUGGGGGGUUUUA